rnacentral:rRNA from 1 species
GUAGCAAUACCAUGAGAGCGGCGCACGGGUGAGUAACGCGUACACGACCUUCCUCUGACAGGGGGAUAGCCCUGGGAAACUGGGAUUAAUACCGCAUAUUAUUCUGAUUAAUGAAGGAUUGGAAUGAAAGUUCAGGCGGUCAGAGAUGGGUGUGCGUCUGAUUAGCUAGUUGGUAGGGUAACGGCCUACCAAGGCGAUGAUCAGUAGGGGGCGUGAGAGCGUGAUCCCCCACACGGGUACUGGGACACGGACCCGACUCCUACGGGAGGCAGCAGUAAGGAAUAUUGGACAAUGGCCGAAAGGCUGAUCCAGCCAUCCAGCGUGCAGGAAGAAGGCCCUAUGGGUUGUAAACUGCUUUUAUCAGGGAAGAAACCUGUGGAUUUACUCCGCAGCUGACGGUACCUGAAGAGUAAGCACCGGCUAACUCCGUGCCAGCAGCCGCGGUAAUACGGAGGGUGCGAGCGUUAUCCGGAAUUACUGGGUUUAAAGGGUGCGUAGGCGGCUAUGUAAGUCAGGAGUGAAAGUUUGCGGCUCAACCGUAAAAUUGCUUUUGAUACUGCACAGCUGGAAUUAGGAUGAGGUCAGCGGAAUGUGGCAUGUAGCGGUGAAAUGCAUAGAUAUGCCAUAGAACACCAAUUGCGAAGGCAGCUGACUAGACCUGGAUUGACGCUGAGGCACGAAAGCGUGGGGAGCGAACAGGAUUAGAUACCCUGGUAGUCCACGCCCUAAACGAUGCUUACUCGACGUAUGAAGCUAGACUCUGUGCGUCCAAGGGAAACC